rnacentral:rRNA from 1 species
GAUGAACGCUGGCGGCGUGCCUAAUACAUGCAAGUCGAGCGAAUGGAUUAAGAGCUUGCUCUUAUGAAGUUAGCGGCGGACGGGUGAGUAACACGUGGGUAACCUGCCCAUAAGACUGGGAUAACUCCGGGAAACCGGGGCUAUACCGGAUAACAUUUUGAACCGCAUGGUUCGAAAUUGAAAGGCGGCUUCGGCUGUCACUUAUGGAUGGACCCGCGUCGCAUUAGCUAGUUGGUGAGGUAACGGCUCACCAAGGCAACGAUGCGUAGCCGACCUGGGGGGGUGAUCGGCAACACUGGGACUGAGACGCGGCGCAGACUCCUACGGGAGGCAGCAGUAGGGAAUCUUCCGCAAUGGACGAAAGUCUGACGGAGCAACGCCGCGUGAGUGAUGAAGGCUUUCGGGUCGUAAAACUCUGUUGUUAGGGAAGAACAAGUGCUAGUUGAAUAAGCUGGCACCUUGACGGUACCUAACCAGAAAGCCACGGCUAACUACGUGCCAGCCGCCGCCGCAG